GGUUUUGAGCAAUCGCGGUAAUCUUUAUGAUUGCUGAGGAAAGUCCACGCCCGCACAGGCUGAGAUGCCUGUAGUGUUCGUGCUUGGCCCAAUAAGCCCUGGGACUUCUUUUGAAGUUACGGCAGUUAAAGUGCUAAGGUCUUUGACUAUGCAUGACUAGCUUGAAAGUGCCACAGUGACGUAGCAAUAUUGGAAACUUUAUUGGUGGAACGAGGUAAACCCCGCGAGCGAGCAACCCAAACAUUGGUAGGGGCGCUUCAUUUAAGUAAAUGAACUAAAAAUGAAGGUAGAAAUACAGAUAGAUGAUUGCUGAAGGUAUUUUUCCUAGAAAUACUGGAACAGAACGUGGCUUAUAGAA
rnacentral:RNase_P_RNA from 2 species